GUAAGCUACUAAGAGCAAAUGGUGGAUGCCUUGGCUAGUAGAGGCGAUGAAAGACGUGCUAGGCUGCGAUAAGUCUCGGGGAGCCGUCAAGGGGCUUUGAUCCGGGAAUUUCUGAAUGGGGCAACCCAGUAUAUAGUGAUAUAUACUACCGCAAUGCGGAGCGAACGUUGGGAAUUGAAACAUCUUAGUACCAACAGGAAAAGAAAUCAAACGAGAUUACGCUAGUAGCGGCGAGCGAAAGCGUAAGAGGGCAAACCACUAGCUUGCUAGUGGGGUUGUAGGACUGCAAUAUAGACUUAAACAAUCUAAUAGAAUAAGCUGGAAAGCUUAAGCAUAGAGGGUGAUACUCCCGUAUAUGAAAGUGCGUUUAUACUUAGCAGUAUCCUGAGUAGGGCGGGACACGUGUAAUCCUGUCUGAAGCUGGGUAGACCACUAUCCAACCCUAAAUACUACUACUAGACCGAUAGUGCACAAGUACCGUGAGGGAAAGGUGAAAAGAACUGAGGUGAUCAGAGUGAAAUAGAACCUGAAACCAUUUGCUUACAAUCAUUCAGAGCCCUAUGAUUUAUCAGGGUGAUGGACUGCCUUUUGCAUAAUGAGCCUGCGAGUUGUGGUGUCUGGCAAGGUUAAGGAAACCCGGAGCCGUAGCGAAAGCGAGUCUUAAUAGGGCGUAUAGUCAGAUGCUGCAGACCCGAAACGAUGUGAUCUAUCCAUGAGCAGGUUGAAACCGGUGUAAGAGCCGGUGGAGGACCGAACAGACGGCCGUUGAAAAGGCUCCUGAUGACUUGUGGAUAGGGGUGAAAGGCCAAUCAAACAUCGUGAUAGCUGGUUCUCUCCGAAAUAUAUUUAGGUAUAGCGUUGUGUAGUAACUUUGUGAGGUAGAGCACUGAAUGGGCUAGGGCAUACACCAAUGUACCAAACCCUAUCAAACUCCGAAUGCGCAAAGUGUAAUCACAGCAGUCAGGCGGCGAGUGAUAAAAUCCGUCGUCAAGAGGGGAACAACCCAGACUAACAGCUAAGGUCCCUAAAUCUCAUUUAAGUGGAAAACGAUGUGAAGUUACUUUAACAACCAGGAGGUUGGCUUAGAAGCAGCCAUCCUUUAAAGAAAGCGUAAUAGCUCACUGGUCUAGUGAUUUCGCGCGGAAAAUAUAACGGGGCUAAAAUGAGUACCGAAGCUUUAGACUUAGUUUUUAACUAAGUGGUAGGAGAGCGUUCUAUUCAGCGUUGAAGGUAUACCGGUAAGGAGUGCUGGAGCGGAUAGAAGUGAGCAUGCAGGCAUGAGUAGCGAUAAAAGGGGUGAGAAUCCCCUUCGCCGUAAACCCAAGGUUUCCUACGCGAUGCUCGUCAUCGUAGGGUUAGUCGGGUCCUAAGCAAAGUCCAAAAGGGGUAUGCGAUGGAAAAUCGGUUAAUAUUCCGAUACCAAUAUUAGUGUGCGAUGGAAGGACGCUUAAAGUUAGUGGAGCUAGCGGAUGGAAGUGCUAGUCUAAGGAUGUAGAUUAAGUGGUAGGCAAAUCCGCCACUUUUUAUUCGAGAUCUUAAAGGCUCUCCAAAGUCUUCGGAUAGCGGGGAGAAUCCAUAAUACUAUCGAGCCAAGAAAAGUUUCUAAGUUUAGCUAAUAUUGCCCGUACCGUAAACCGACACAGGUGGGUGGGAUGAGUAUUCUAAGGCGCGUGGAAGAACUCUCUUUAAGGAACUCUGCAAAAUAGCACCGUAUCUUCGGUAUAAGGUGUGCCUAACUUUGUAUUAAGAUUCACUCCCAAAGCAAAGAAGGUUACAACAAAGAGUCCCUCCCGACUGUUUACCAUAAACACAGCACUCUGCUAACACGUAAGUGGAUGUAUAGGGUGUGACGCCUGCCCGGUGCUCGAAGGUUAAUUGAUGGGGUUAGCAUUAGCGAAGCUCUUGAUCGAAGCCCGAGUAAACGGCGGCCGUAACUAUAACGGUCCUAAGGUAGCGAAAUUCCUUGUCGGUUAAAUACCGACCUGCAUGAAUGGCGUAACGAGAUGGGAGCUGUCUCAAAGAGGGAUCCAGUGAAAUUGUAGUGGAGGUGAAAAUUCCUCCUACCCGCGGCAAGACGGAAAGACCCCGUGGACCUUUACUACAGCUUGACACUGCUAUUUGGAUAAAGAUGCGCAGGAUAGGUGGGAGGCUUUGAUCCAUAGACUCCGGUUUAUGGUGAGCCAUUGUUGAGAUACCACUCUUCUUUAUUUGAGUAGCUAACUAGCUUGCGUUAUCCGCAAGUAGGACAAUGUCUGGUGGGUAGUUUGACUGGGGCGGUCGCCUCCCAAAAUGUAACGGAGGCUUACAAAGGUUGGCUCAGAACGGUUGGAAAUCGUUCGUAGAGUAUAAAGGCAUAAGCCAGCUUAACUGCAAGACAUACACGUCAAGCAGAGACGAAAGUCGGUCUUAGUGAUCCGGUGGUUCUGUGUGGAAGGGCCAUCGCUCAAAGGAUAAAAGGUACCCCGGGGAUAACAGGCUGAUCUCCCCCAAGAGCUCACAUCGACGGGGAGGUUUGGCACCUCGAUGUCGGCUCAUCGCAUCCUGGGGCUGGAGCAGGUCCCAAGGGUAUGGCUGUUCGCCAUUUAAAGCGGUACGCGAGCUGGGUUCAGAACGUCGUGAGACAGUUCGGUCCCUAUCUGCCGUGGGCGUAAGAAGAUUGAGGAGAGUUGACCCUAGUACGAGAGGACCGGGUUGAACCAGCCACUGGUGUAUCAGUUGUUCUGCCAAGAGCAUCGCUGAGUAGCUAAGCUGGGAUGUGAUAAGAGCUGAAAGCAUCUAAGCUCGAAGCCAACUCCAAGAUGAAUCUUCUUUUAAGAGCUCUAGUAGACUACUAGUUUGAUAGGCUGGGUGUGUAAGUGAUGAGAGUCAUUUAGCUGACCAGUACUAAUAGCUCGUUUGCUUAUCUUU
rnacentral:rRNA from 1 species